rnacentral:tRNA from 1 species
UAUAUACUAGUGUAAACAAGCACAAGAAGUUUUGAUCUUCUUAGAGUUGGAUAAAACCAGCGUAUAUAA